rnacentral:rRNA from 1 species
UACGAAGGGGGCUAGCGUUGUUCGGAAUUACUGGGCGUAAAGCGCGCGCAGGCGGUCUUCCAAGUCAGUGGUGAAAGCCCGGAGCUCAACUCCGGAACUGCCAUUGAAACUGUAAGACUUGAGGAUGAGAGAGGUGAGUGGAAUUCCCAGUGUAGAGGUGAAAUUCGUAGAUAUUGGGAAGAACACCGGUGGCGAAGGCGGCCAUCUGGACCGUAUCUGACGCUGAGGCGCGAAAGCGUGGGGAGCAAACAGG